CGGCACCAAGGAGUUAACAGAAGAAAGAACUACUGUGGCAUGUGCUCCAUGCAAGGCCUAUGUGCGUUUGGUGCUCGGAGCUGCUGAGUGCCCCUAACUCCAGGUGAAAUCAGUGGGAGCAACAUGUGCUCAGGACCUUGGGAAGCUGCCAGCAAGUCUUUUGAUCAUUUCACUUUUUGCUCAUCAGUCUAUCUGCUCCCUCUGCCACACAGCGAGACACCCGGCUCCUUGAACAUGCUCAGUAAAGCAAAUGAGAAGGUCCCUAAAGCCACAGCAACACCAUAUCCAGAUUUCAAAGAUCAACCCUCAAAUGCAAAGGUGCUACACAGCUACUCAAUGAAACAGGUGGAUUGUUUUUAAAAAGGGUACAAAAAUGUGAUUUCCUGUAUCUCGUUCUCAAGAAAACCGGAAUCAUUCACACUGAAAUAUAAAAAGGAAAAAAUAAUCAACGUGAAACAGCUACUAAGUAUGGAAAAAUGCCACUUCAAAAGGUUAUCCUGGAAAAUUACUGAACGUUGAGCAAUGCUGAUUGCAGGCACUUCAACCAGCUUUUCUUACAUUACUUGCUAUUUCCUAGAGUUACUACUGAGAAAGACCCUUACACAAAUCCAUGAGGUGGAAUAAAAAUGAAAGAAGAUCAUAAACUCCAGUGAUGUCUGGAAAUAUCUCGACAAGAAGAAAUACAGGCUAUAAUAAAGAUGAAGCCUAAUUACGGGGCAAUAGAUGGUGAAUGCACGGAGCGCAGAGAUUUUUUGAUUCAGAUAUACAAGAGGCAGGAAGUCCAAGUGUCACAGCCACAGCCUAUUUACAAAAAUUAGGAGGAAGUGUUGAUUGGUUUCUAUAGACACAAACAUUGAUAUUCACACUAGAAUCAAACAGUUGUUCUUAUGAGUGGAAGGAAGGUCAAACUCUCGUCAUAGUUCAGCAAUCAAAGACAGGCAGCAAGAAAAUCCUUUUGACACAUAGCCUUCAUCAUCUAAGAGUCAAAUGAUUAAACUGCAAGAAAGCAAAUAAAAUGACUUUAAAACAAACAUUUAGGUCUUUCUUCAUAAAAACAUGUAGGCUUUUAGCAGAUGACUCAAAUGUGAAAGUUUGUGGUCUUUGCUCUGGUAGCUGGGUAGGCUGUAUUCUAAACUACUACGUAUAUGAGUCAUGUGUUUUCCAUUUUCUAGGGUGCGAGUUGCACUCCUGAACUCUCUACAGAGGGGAUCAUCACUGCUGCUGAGCAAGAUGAGGGCAAUGGGAUAUUUAACCAUUUUGCCCCAUAGGGGACUUACACUUCAUGGUGUGAUUGAAGAGCAGUUGUAAAAGCACUUACUCCUAUUGUAAGAUUCCUGAACUAGAAGCAAAUGGCAUUUUUCUAGUUGUUUUAAAAGAGAGGCAGAAAUGCAGAUUUCCUCAUGGAUCAUUCCAACUGCAGAACAUUUCACCAUGAUAACUACAUUACUAAGAUAUCUGUGUGUUCUGUUAUCACACUCAAGACACAGCU